ensembl:lncRNA
GAUUCACUGUCAGUGGGAGCACUGAAUGAAAAGCCUGUUCUCCAAAUCAGUCCCCCAUUUAUCUACUAAAUCUUUCCAUUUCAUCCAAUCUAAAGAACCAUCGUGCGUCUGCAGCGGAGCGCUGCGCACGGAAUUGGAACGGGAGCACUCGGCUGUUUGGUGUCACUUGAGACCUGGAUCUCAUCUGUGUGGGAACGAGGCGGUGGCUGUGGCAGAGAGACAGGCUGUGUGCUGGAAAACAAAGAGAGAAUUCUGGCUGGCUGGGCUGGUGUGAAGAAUCGCUGCCGUGGGGCUGAGCUGAAGGUGUGCGAGGAGAAGGAAACAGGAGCAGAGCGAGAAGCCAGCUGUGAACAGCACCGCUCGCUUCUGCUACUGAGCGAGCUCUUCUAGAAAAUGUCAAAGAACAUCCUCAUCAUCUAAAGCCAUUUUUAAAAUGAUUGCUAAUAUGGCUCAAUUAUGUUUUCUUUCCCUGCACCCAUGUGUUUAAAUGUGAAAGAAAAUGGUGAGAGUGACUGCUAAAGAUGCUUGAUAGUGCAUAUUUGCUUGGAAGUAUAUUUUCAUAUCAAGCAAAUGUCAGUGCAAACACCUGCAAUUUGCAUUGCUUCUAACUGUAAGAAACAAACGUAAGUUGGUUCACCACCACCACAACUCUGAAUAAAGCUCCUGCUGCUCUGUGGCUGGUACUAGGU